CACUGGGGGCGUGGCACACUGUGGAUUCAUGGCCCAAGGAUGAAAUCACUCUGGGAUUUCAACCAACAACCUUCCGAUCACAGCAUACUAACCUGUUGAGUUAACCUGCCUGUUAUUUAACACAGAAGGCCAGCACAAAUGAUGUAACCUAUAAUUAGCUCUUCAAAAGUUGCAGAUUUACAAUAAGGCAACAUGGUGGUCCUGUUUCAGAACCAGCAUCAGUACUGGCACACGACCAAGGCCGCUGAAGAUUUGUGUUGGCAUAGCUUGCUGCAGUUGGAGACACCCUGACAAUAGAAAGUGAACAGUUAGGCAUAACAAUGACAGAGACUCACUGCAAGACAUUAGACAGCAGAGAGGCGUAAAUAUGAGGUAGUUGAUAAACGUCUGCGUUUGUAUAAGCCCCAGCCAGCGGCCAUCCGUAUGGCAGACUGGGCACCCUGUCUCUGUGUAUGAAGAUAGGUCAUACUAUCUAAAUACCAUUAACGGUGCGAGUACUGCAGGUUCCAGAUGCUGUUCUUGGUGUUUACGGCGUGCGAGUACUGCAGGUUCCAGAUGCUGUUCUUGCUGUUUACGGCGUGCACUCGCAUGCAAUUCCUUUGCAGACAUACCCAUGCUGUGCCUUCUCAGUCUCACCUGCUUUCACAUGUACACUGUAUGAAACAUGCUGCAGCGUGACUCAGCACGCCCCCCACCCCUGGCCCACCCCCGGAUACAGGCUCCCCCUUCAGCGCGGUCAGAUUCUGCGCUCAGUCUUUGGAGCAUCGCGGCCUGCUGUGUGUCUGCGCAGAAUUAAAAUCCAACUUAUCAACCCGCACGUGUCCAUUUGCAGUGAUUUCCAAGGCAGGCCGUGUGUUUCUCCAUGAGAAAUGCUGACACAGAAGGUUGCUGCCCCACUGUCUCCACCGCCCGUGGUACAGCAGGGGCUCUGAUGCAGGUGCAGGCGAGGUGCUGGUGUCAGCAGAACCUGGGAGCAGACUGUGGGCUCCUUACCUAAACCUCACAGAGGGUCUCCAUGGACACCAGAACCUAAAGUCAGAAGGUUCCGCAGGUUAGUUAUGGGGCAGUGUGGGACCACAAGAACACUGUGCGGAGGUGGCAGGGGUCGAUAAGCAAACAGAUACUCACCUAUAAAAAUGCAAUUGUACUGGGUAAAAGGUACCAAAAAAUAAAACGAAUAUUAAUAAUCAU